rnacentral:rRNA from 1 species
CGCGGCCUAUCAGCUUGUUGGUGGUGUAACGGACCACCAAGGCGACGACGGGUAGCGGGCCUGAGAGGGUGGCCCGUCACACUGGGACUGAGACACUGCCCAGACUCCUACGGGAGGCUGCAGUCGAGAAUCUUCCGCAAUGGACGCAAGUCUGACGGAGCGACGCCGCGUGUAGGACGAAGGCCCUUGGGUUGUAAACUACUGUCACGAGUUAUGAAUGCGUACGCGUCAAUAGCGCGUGCGUUGACGUAAGCUCGAGAGGAAGCACCGGCUAACUCUGUGCCAGCAGCCGCGGUAACACAGAGGGUGCAAACGUUGUUCGGAAUUACUGGGCAUAAAGCGCACGUAGGCGGCUUGGUAAGUGUGAAGUGAAAUCCCACGGCUCACCCGUGGAACUGCUUUGCAUACUGCUUGGCUCGAGGACGGUAGGGGAGAGCAGAACUCCUGGAGGAGCGGUGAAAUGCGUAGAUAUCAGGAGGAAUGCCAGUGGCGAAGGCGGCUCUCUGGUCCGUUUCUGACGCUGAGGUGCGAAAGCCAGGGUAGCGAACGGGAUUAGAUACCCCGGUAGUCCUGGCCGUAAACGAUGGGCACUAACUAGAGGCCUUCUGUUUGGUCUCUGGUGAAGCAAAUGUGUUAAGUGCCCCGCCUGGGGAGUACGG